rnacentral:rRNA from 1 species
AGAUUGAACGCUGGCGGCAUGCCUUACACAUGCAAGUCGAGCGGCAGCGCGGGGGCAACCCUGGCGGCGAGCGGCGAACGGGUGAGUAAAGCAUCGGAACGUAUCCUAUAGUGGGGGAUAACCUAGCGAAAGCUAGGCUAAUACCGCAUACGCCCUGAGGGGGAAAGUGGGGGAUUCGCAAGAACCUCACGCUAUUGGAGCGGCCGAUGUCGGAUUAGCUAGUUGGUGGGGUAAAGGCUUACCAAGGCGACGAUCCGUAGCUGGUUUGAGAGAACGACCAGCCACACUGGGACUGAGACACGGCCCAGACUCCUACGGGAGGCAGCAGUGGGGAAUUUUGGACAAUGGGGGCAACCCUGAUCCAGCCAUGCCGCGUGAGUGAAGAAGGCCUUCGGGUUGUAAGCUCUUUCGGCGGGGACAAACAGCCAUCGCGAAUAACGGUGGUUAAUGAUGGUACCGAAGAAGAAGCACCGGCUAACUACGCGCCAGCAGCCGCGGUAA